rnacentral:rRNA from 1 species
GACGAACGCUGGCGGCGUGCUUAACACAUGCAAGUCGAACGGAAAGGCCCUGCUUUUGUGGGGUGCUCGAGUGGCGAACGGGUGAGUAACACGUGAGUAACCUGCCCUUGACUUUGGGAUAACUUCAGGAAACUGGGGCUAAUACCGGAUAGGAGCUCCUGCUGCAUGGUGGGGGUUGGAAAGUUUCGGCGGUUGGGGAUGGACUCGCGGCUUAUCAGCUUGUUGGUGGGGUAGUGGCUUACCAAGGCUUUGACGGGUAGCCGGCCUGAGAGGGUGACCGGCAACAUGGGGACUGAGAUACGGACCGGAAUAAUACGGGCGGGAGAAGUGGGGAAGAGGGCAGCAUGGGCGGAAGCCUGAUGCAGCAACGCCGAGUGAGGGAUGACGGCCUUCGGGUUGGAAAACGAUUUCGCCUGUGAAGAAGCGGGAGUGAGGGUAAUGGGUAAAGAAGCACCGGCUAACUACGUG